CCCUCCCCCACUGCAGGUUUGGUGCCUGAGUCAGAGUCCUGUUCCAGGCCCUGGAGAUUGUUUCCCCCGGAUGGGGGGUGGGGCACCUUGCUUUAAAGGGUCAUUAUCCAGCCUGGCCUCCUAUUCCACUUGAAAGGGUUGACAGCACAGCCAGCCCCAAGGGCUCUCUCCCCGGCUGCCUCCCCAGCUCUCCUGGGUUUAGAGAUGGAGGCACAGGAAGGCACCCUCCGCCCCAGGCUGACAGCAGAGGAGCCUGGGGCCGCAGCUAAGGAGGCUGAAGGGGUGGCUGGGAGUGGAGCCAAGGAGGCGGCUCAGGGUGGGGAUGGGCUGGGGGAGAAGGGGAGAGCAGGGAAUUCUGGGAGCAAUGCUAAGGGGGGCGGUGAGGCCAGCAAAGCAGGGGAUUGUGGGAGUGAUGCUAAGGGGGACGUUGCGCCUGGGCUAGCAGGGGAUUCUGGGAGUGAUGCUAAGGGGGGCAGUGAGGCUGGGGAAGCAGGGGAUUCUGGGAGCGAUGCUAAGGAAGGCAGUGAGGCCAGCAGAGCAGGGGAUUCUGGGAGCGAUGCUAAGGGGGGCGGUGAGGCAGGGGGAGCAGGGGAUUCUGGUAGCAAUACUAAGGGAGGUGGUGAGGCAGGGGGAGCAGGGGAUUCUGGGAGUGAUGCUAAGUGGGGCAGUGAGGCCAGCAGGGCAGGGGAUGCUGGGAGAGAUGCUAAGGAGGGCGGUGAGGCUGGUGGAGCAGGGGAUUCUGGGGCUGGGGCAGAGGAGAGGGCAGAGGAGGGGCAGGGGACUGGAGCAGAGGAGAGAGAAGCAGUAGGUGGGUCUGGGCUUGAGCCCCAGGACGGGGUUGGAGGGGCCGAGCCAGAGAUGCAAGGGGCUGAAGCCGAGAGGACCAGCGGUGCCGUGGCAAGAGAGGGGCGUGGUGGGAGCACCUCAGAGGAGCCGCAGUCCCCAGAGAUGGGGGGCGAGGAGGAGGAGUGGGGUGAGCCUGCACCUAGCUCCCCCGACGAGGGGCUGGCCAGCCCCACAGGGGACGCUGCCUUUGGGAAGGAGACUGGGGCCCCCCAGCCGGACGGUGCCUCCCAAGGCCGAGAAGCCGCUCCAGGUGGCAGCACCAGCACUGGAGGGACAGCCCAGCAGGACAGCGGGCAGAGCCCUGCACCUGAAGGAGUUGCGCCCCCCAAAGAGAAGCCAAAGAGACCAGCGCUGGAUCGGAGGGAGUUGACCCGACCCCGCCUGGCACCCAGGGCCCAGUCCCGCAAGGCCCUUGUGGAGAAAUUUGGGGGGGCAGCCAGCGGCCCGGCCCCCAACAUCAAGAAGACUGGAGGUGCCAACACCAUCAAGAACAUGCUGCUGGAGUGGUGUCGUGCCAAGACGCGCGGCUAUGAGCACGUGGACAUCCAGAACUUCUCCUCCAGCUGGAGCAGCGGCUUGGCCUUCUGCGCCCUCAUCCACAAGUUCUUCCCUGAUGCCUUCGACUACGCGGCCCUCGACCCGGCCAACCGCAGGGAGAACUUUGCCCUGGCUUUUGCCGCUGCUGAGCAGCAUGCCGAUUGCGCCCCACUGCUGGAGGUGGAGGACAUGGUGCGCAUGAGCGUCCCAGACUCCAAGUGCGUCUACACUUACGUCCAGGAGCUGUACCGCAGCCUGGUGGACAAGGGGCUGGUGAAAACCAAGAAGAAAUGAGGUGGGGGGAGCAGCUGGCCGGGGAAGCAGAGAGCGCGCCAGGCGACGUGGGUCUGUCCUGGAGCUCUCCCCCAAAGUGGCAUCUCCUCCGCUGGUAACGGUUCACAGCCACCUCCUGCCUGCCCCCUUCCCAGCCCGCGGCUCAUGUGUGCACACGAGACCCUGACAGAUAAAGUAAAGCAGAACUGCUCCAA